rnacentral:lncRNA from 1 species
AUGCUUGCUCAGUUUCUGGCAACAUGGUGAAGUAGAAAGCCUUGGUUUUCCAAGGGUGCUCUUGGACCAGUAGCAUUGACAUUACCUGGGAGCAAGUUAGAAAUGGAGAAUCUCAGGACUCUCUGGGACCCAUUGAAUUGUAUCUGCAUUUUAAUAAGAGUUUUAAGUGAUUCAUGUACUCAUUAAAGUUUGAAAAUUACUGAUACAUUGUUUAGACAUCAAAACAUGUUACCUAUCUUCUAGUUUCAGCUCUGCCUCUGUCUAGCUAGGUGGUCCUAUACCAGUCAGUUCGGUUCUUCAAACUGUGUUCCUUGGAGCUCUCGCAGCUCAGCUGUGAUUACCCAGAGGCCUAUGGUGAGGUCAGGAUUCCUAUCUGAGGCCUGAGCAACUCCAGUUUUAUUAGUUUAAUCCACUAGGCUUUAACAUGAGAUGCUAUUUGAACAAAAGGUUUGACUGUGAAGGAGAUGUGAGGCCUACUGUCCCUGAGGAGUUCUAAGGUAAUUUGCAGACCUAAAUUUUCUUGAAUUAUAAUAGCACUCAUUGAUAUGAAAAAUCUCUUUCAUAUACACAUGUCAGUUACUGAGACUGACAGUUUAGUUGCCUCUAGGAGUUUCCAUGAGUAGCAAAGAGAAACUCAGGUUGCCUGUCACUGUAUUUCCUACUGUUUUUCUAAUCUUAACCACAUAACUAUCUGAUUUUACCCCUUUUGACACUGCAGGAGAACUGCUUAUGAGACCUCAUUAUAGCUAUCUUUUAUUUAAUCAUUUUAUCAGUAUUGGUUUAUUUGGAUGCACUCUGGCCCUUAGCCAUCCAUUGACCUGUGUCAUUCAGUUUGCAUGCAUUAAUCUAAAAAGGGUUCAAAGGUCUGAGACACUCAGUGAUAUCCUAUGUCUGCCAAAGCAAUUUCCAGGCCUGUACUCCCUGGCGAGCUGAAGAGGACCAGACUCCCCAGUUCAUUUUUACUUGGCACUUGGAACUUUCUGCAACUGAGUCCUAGAGUGAGAAUCAAAGUCAUAGUUCCCUGAUUAGAGCUGUCUGCAUUGGGCAGAGAAAGAAAGCACCGUAAUAGCCCACUUCUAAAUGUGGUUCCUUCUUUCCUCAAGACAGCAGCAAACGCACUAGACCCAUAGUGUGGAGCCAUCACCCACCUUUUGGAUUUUCCACCUGAUAGCUUCAUCAGUCUAUUACUUAUUUAUAUGUUUAUUGGCUUUACAUGGCAUAUUUUCUCCAAAGAACUCACGAAAUGGAAGGAUUUGUUUUAGGAGUCUAUAAAAUACAUUCUUACUAGUUCACCUAUGGGAUUACAUGAAAUCAUUUUAUAUUCCCUCUCAUGUAUUGUGGUGGGAUUAUUAUAAAAAUACUCAAAUCUUUAAAUCUUCUUAGGGGCACAUAUAUUCCCCUUUCAAAAUGUAACCAUCAGGAAAAAAAGAGAAAUCUUCUCAAACAACUGACCAAUGUUCUUUUCUUAGAAAAAUCAAUCUCAUCAGCAGCUCAUAAAAUUCAAUUUCCCUGGUCAGGAACAAAGCAGAUAAUCAUCGCUUAACAAUAUUUAUGGCUGAUAGAAAUGCAGACUAAAUAAAAUUGGCCUCGAAAACUAUCAUCAAAUUCUUUAAAACAUUUUUGUUUAUCUUCAGAGGAUUUAUGAAGUGCUGGUGAGUAUUUUUUGUUUUUUUUCUCAAUUUCUAUUUUGUCCAACACACAUCAAAGGCACUCCAUAGAUAUUUAGUGAAAGGAUAAGGGGCAAGUAAAUGAACAAAGGAAAAUACAAAUGGCUACUAACUUGUGCAUGAUGCAUUACUAGAGACUGCUUAACAACAGACUGCGCUGCUUAAAGACAGAACACUGCAGUAAUGCUGCUGCUUUGGUUUAUAGAAAUUUUCAGAAAUUGAUAAAGUAAGAGAGCAAAAGUAAAUAUAGAUCUUCACUAGGUAACAAAAAAUAGAAAAAAAUAUAGAUCUUCACUAGGGAUGGUGAAAGAAUGGCAAGAUGAAGCAUGAAUGCUGUAGAUAAAGUAGAGUUCAAGGAAGAGAUGAUUGAAUAAAUACAAUACUUCCUUCCUUUUAGGAAAGUAUCAAC